CAAUAGCGUAUAUUAAAGUUGUUGCAGUUAAAAAGCUCGUAGUUGGAUUUGUGGUGUACUUCGGCGGCCCGUCACUAUGUGAUGGAGCUUGCUGAAGUCGCCAUCCUUGGGUGGAUCCUGUGUGGCAUUAAGUUGUCGUGCAGGGGAUGCCCAUCGUUUACUGUGAAAAAAUUAGAGUGUUCAAAGCAGGCUUAUGCCGUUGAAUAUAUUAGCAUGGAAUAAUAAGAUAGGACCUUGGUACUAUUUUGUUGGUUUGCGCACCAAGGUAAUGAUUAAUAGGGACAGUUGGGGGUAUUCGUAUUUCAUUGUCAGAGGCGAAAUUCUUGGAUUUUUGAAAGACGAACUACUGCGAAAGCAUUUACCAAGGAUGUUUUCAUUAA
rnacentral:rRNA from 1 species